rnacentral:rRNA from 1 species
AUUGAACGCUAGCUACAGGCUUAACACAUGCAAGUCGGGGGGUAACGAGAGGAAAGCUUGCUUUCCUUGUCGACGACCGGCGCACGGGUGAGUAACGCGUAUCCAACCUGCCCCCAACUAGGGAAUAACCUUGCGAAAGUAAGACUAAUACCCUAUAAUUUCCUCAGAUGUCAUCUGACGAGGAAUAAAGAUUUAUCGGUUGUGGAUGGGGAUGCGUCUGAUUAGCUUGUUGGCGGGGUAACGGCCCACCAAGGCAACGAUCAGUAGGGGUUCUGAGAGGAAGGUCCCCCACAUUGGAACUGAGACACGGUCCAAACCCCUACGGGAGGCAGCAGUGAGGAAUAUUGGUCAAUGGGCGGAAGCCUGAACCAGUCAAGUAGCGUGCAGGAUGACGGCCCUAUGGGUUGUAAACUGCUUUUAUACAGGAAUAAAGUUAGCCACGUGUGGUUAUUUGUAGGUACUGUAUGAAUAAGGACCGGCUAAUUCCGUGCCAGCAGCCGCGGUAA